CAACGUUCAUGUACCCUCCAUCGACUAAUGCGGAGAGUUCGGGCCAUGUUCAACAAACGAACCAGCCCCCACCAAUGCCACAUUUUCCAGCAACUUUCAUGUACCCUCCGUCGAGUAAUGCGGAGAGUUCGGGCCAUGUUCAACA